UAAUUAAGAGCUGAAUUAGAUGGAA
rnacentral:piRNA from 1 species